ACAUCCCUACGGGACGCAGCAGUGAGGAAUAUUGGUCAAUGGGCGGAAGCCUGAACCAGCCAAGUCGCGUGAGGGAAUAAGGCCCUACGGGUCGUAAACCUCUUUUGCCGGGGAGCAAGGGCCGGGACGCGUCCCGGCCCGGAGAGUACCCGGAGAAAAAGCAUCGGCUAACUCCGUGCCAGCAGCCGCGGUAAUACGGAGGAUGCGAGCGUUAUCCGGAUUUAUUGGGUUUAAAGGGUGCGUAGGCGGGCUUUUAAGACAGCGGUAAAAAUUCGGGGCUCAACCCCGUCCGGCCGUUGAAACUG
rnacentral:rRNA from 1 species